GUGGAGGAGCUGCAAACUGCUGUGAAAGAGAACUUUGGAAUUUUUGAGGAGUUCAGUUUUCAGUAUUUGGACUCAGUCUUUGAAGAUUACUUCACUCUGCAUAAAACUGACCAAUUUAAACACAAAGACACGAUAAAGGUUGUCUAUGCUGCCCCGAUUAUUCUUGACUUGCAGUAAGUUGAAAGUUUGGACAUUUCUUUUGGUCAGCAGUCAACAGACUAUAACUCAGUAUCUUAUACAGAGUCAUCAGCAUCAAACGCAGAGUCCUCUUCAGGAACAUCAUCUUCACUGGACACCAUUAUCCUGCCGAGAUGGAUAAGCACCACUGAACGAUGUCAGCCAUGGCCAAAGCAGUUCCCCAUUCCGCAGUUUGCAUAUGAGACUGAGAUGUACCUUGAAAGAGCCAAUGAAUACGGAAAGAAUGGAACACUUCUGACUGCCUCAAAGGUCAAGACAGACAUAUUAGAGAAGCUGGCUGAAACUAUAUAUAUGUAUACAGCUUAUCCGUCAAGUACACAGAUAUGUGAUGUUGCUGAAGCACUUGUCAAGAAAUAUCCUUGUCUGAAGGAACCUGGCUCCUUCUCAGGUUACUAUGGCUGGCAACAAAGCCUCAAAUACAAGAUGGCAAAUUAUUGCACCAAACUCCGCAGCUCCGGUGUUCCUGAGGUGAUGUGCCAUGCCUUAAAGCGCAAGAGCCCUGCAGACCAGAAAUCUGCCAAGAAUGUGUAAAAGCCUCGAAAGGCUGAAUUAAACUACCUCCCCCUUUAACCAGCAGGAGAGGAUGAGGAAAGUCAAGAACAGGAAAGGAUUCUGUUGCUAACUGAAGUAAGGAAACGAGACAACAACGAACUGUUCAAAGAAAAGAUGGCCAAAACCUUUGCACACCGAAGAAAUGAAAUCGCCAACCAGUCACCCACCAUAGAGGACAUAAAAGCCAGAUGGCCAGCUCUGUUUGAGGCAUCUGAUAUCCAGGAUGAGUUUCACAGAAUCACAACGGUGCACCUGGAAGUUCAUGUCCAAGCUAGAUGAAUACUCUCCCAGGCUUCUAAACCUCUUCCACUCAAAGGGCAGGGCCAUGGGAUUGAGGUUGCAGACUAUCCUACUGAAGGAUGCAGAUGAAGACAGUGUGGCACAGGACCUUGCUGUACAAGAGAUGAAAAUCUACAGCAUCCAGACUAAUCUGUCAGAGGGUACAGAGGACAUCGGAAUCGUGAUAGGCGGAACAACGGUCCUGACUGCUCUGGGUAACCCUCCAAGGGCUUGUGCCAUGCUCAUUGGUUUGACAUAUGCAGUGAAUCUUGCCUAUCCCAAGGAGCUCAGGUACACUUUUGAAGCAUUUCAGAAACUCUUCCUCCAACUGGAUUGUUCAAAGCUUUCCCCAAAACCUUAACAGCCUCAAGAGCAAGCUUCUGGCUUAAGAGCCUACAUACACUGUAGUGCUCAGUAAUUAUGUGCUGUAGUUAAGUGUUCAGUUCUUGUUCAGAAAAAAAUCCAUACUCAUUUGAAGGGUGUGAUGUUAUAUUUUGGACUUAGAACUGGCACAAGUAACUGUUUUUGUAGCUUGGUAUUUCAGAAGUAACAAGUAAAUGAUUUUGCUGCAUUAUAACCAGGACAGUGAGCGUUGUGUUUUGAAAACACAGAGCUUCUUGAUGGACUAUAAACACAUGGCCUCCAAGUUAGGACAUAUGGAUGCCAGUGACACAGUCCACUUUCACAGAAGGAAACCAGACACUCCUCGUUUUUCAUGAUUCUUCUGGUUGUUCUUGCAGCACCGCCUCACAGCUCCAUUAUGGAGAUGGACGGUAUUCUGCUGGGUCUUUACCUCUGUU